rnacentral:rRNA from 1 species
UGACCGAGCCAUGCCGCGUGAGCGAUGAAGGCCUUAGGGUUGUAAAGCUCUUUCGCCAGGGAUGAUAAUGACAGGUACCUGGAUAAAGAAACCCCGGCUAACUCCGUGCCAGCAGCCGCGGUAAUACGGAGGGGGUUAGCGUUGUUCGGAAUUACUGGGCGUAAAGCGCACGUAGGCGGAUUGGAAAGUUGGGGGUGAAAUCCCGGGGCUCAACCUCGGAACUGCCUCCAAAACUCCCAGUCUUGAGUUCGAGAGAGGUGAGUGGAACUCCGAGUGUAGAGGUGAAAUUCGUAGAUAUUCGGAAGAACACCAGUGGCGAAGGCGGCUCACUGGCUCGAUACUGACGCUGAGGUGCGAAAGUGUGGGGAGCAAACAGGAUUAGAUACCCUGGUAGUCCACACCGUAAACGAUGAAUGCCAGACGUCGGCAGGCAUGCCUGUCGGUGUCACACCUAACGGAUUAAGCAUUCCGCCUGGGGA